GUUGACUACCUGCUGCUUCAGAGGAAUGAAAAGACUGGAAAGAGAACACUAUUUUUUUACCAUAUAUUUGUCUUUAUAUAAGUACAUAUUGUUAAAUAGGAAUAAAUAAUAAUUUAUUAAUAAUAAUGUAAGCUGUUUUUAGAUGUAUUAUUGCAUCAUUGCUAGUUACUUAUUUACCUCAGCCAGACUGUUUUAUUUAGCUAACUUUAUCCAAGUUAGCUCGCUAACUGUUAUUGUAGCUGCUUUCUGUUUGUAUGUAGCUUGCACUUUAAUGGCAUCCCUCGGAGGUUUUCUUUUAUCUUUCCAACCAGGCGAAGUACUAUAACGGCAGUAACACCACUGAUCUCUACAAGAGGCAAAACAUUUGUUUGGAUGAACGGAAUAACCAGACCCUCAAGACUGCCAUAAGGGUUACCUUGGUGGAAGCCAACAAUUUUCUCCAGUUGGAGCAGUUGGAUGGUCGACCACUGAAAUCCCUGACACCUUACAGUGAAGCCAGUGAGACAAAACUUAAGGACCAUCAACUGUCCGAGCCACCCAGGAAGUAUCCCAUCCACCAGAGACAGUAAGUUCUGCUCAGUCUGAUUCUCUGUGCUCUGAGUCGUAAGGGGACCAGCUUGGGGUAGAACCCCUGACUGAGACUGGCUGCCUGUCGAGGACAAGGGACAGGAAGAACUAGCAGCAGCACCUGAUCAAGCAUCUCUUCUGACUCUUUCCGCUCUCCUCAUCCUUUAACUUGUAACUCCCAUCCCGUGAAUGGGAUCAUUGUCAUCAUCUGACACUAAUUAGCAUAACGCAACGGACAUAAAUAUUACUAGAAAAUAUUCCUAUUCAUGAAAAUAACAAGUGAAAUAUAUUGAAACACAGC